rnacentral:rRNA from 1 species
AUGACACAUAUUAAGAAUAAAAUCUUUACAUGGUAUCUUCGUCACAGAGUCAUUCCUACUAAAGAUAACCUUAUUAAGAGGAAUUGGCAUGGAAGUCCAUAAUGUGUCUUUUGUCACCAUGAUGAGACCAUAAAACAUUUAUUCUUCCAACGCAAAUUGGCUCAUUCUAUAUGGCCAGUCAUCCAAAUAACUUAUGUCUUGUAUCCUCCUUGUAGUGUUGCUAAUGUAUUUGGCAACUAGUUAUAUGAGAUUAACCAUAGAUUUAGAAUUCUUCUCAGGGUAGGAGUGUUUGCCGUUAUUUGGUCUCUUUGGCUAUGUAGAAAUGAUAAGGUUUUUAAUAUAAAAGUACUUCUCCGAUGCAGGUUAUCUACAGAUGUAUCGAGACUUUUCAUUUAUCAUCCUUUCUACAACGCGUGA